rnacentral:sRNA from 11 species
UUAAAAGUCUUUGGGGAGUAGCUUGCUUGUUCUUGUUGGAAGCGGAACAAGUUUGUACGUCAACAUAAUUGAUGGAUACCCAUCAUGGCGUAUGAGACUCAGUAGCCUAUAAAAAAUGAAAUCAGGCUGAGUUUAGCGAGACCAUAGACAAGAAU